AUCAUUAUCUGCAUAGUAGAAGAAAAACAGAGAAUUGGUGCAGCAAAAUCAUGUCAUCUGCUACUGCCAUUGGAUUCUCAGCAAAUUGGUGGUUGCGCUGUCACGGGCGAAUGACUCCUCCUUCAUGUUUUCCGGUUUCAGUGUCUUAUUCUUCCUCUUUCAACUCCAACUCUUCUUCUUCUAAGUUCAACUACAUUCAUGGAGCAUCCUCUGAAGGACUUCCUAAUGAGUUGGUUGAAGACUCAAAAUUUGUUCCUUUGAAUGAGGAGGAUCCUAUAUAUGGUCCACCUGCCUUAUUGUUGUUGGGCUUUGAAGCAGAUGAAGCUCUGAAGAUUCAACAGCUUUUGAAAGAGUUGGAUGGUGAAUUCCUGAAGGUCAUCUAUUGUACUGAAGACAUGAUUACACGUUCGCUUUGGGAGGCAAUGCAUACAACCCAACCCAGUUUAGAAGAGGUUAAGAUAGCCAAGUCACUUCCUCGGAUAUGUUUCUUAUCUGGUUUAAGUGGAGAGGAGAUGAUGAUGUUCAUAGAUUCUUUCCCUGAAACUGAUUUCACAUGUUCACUACAGUUUGGAGUUUAUGUUAUGCAGAACUAAAACCAGCUGCAUUUGCGGCGCUUGUUCCCAACAGUGCUAAUAAACCACUGGAGGAGUUGAUAGAAGAAAUAAUGGGAGACCAUGAGAUGUUGACUGGGGAGCAGUUGUGAAGAUUUAAAUUCCCACUGAAUCCAGGUGGAGCGAUUGGAAAAGAGAUCUGAUCUGAUUGAAACCAACAAUUUUUCACAGUAUCCGGGCAUCAAACUGCAUUAUAAAAUAUAAAUUCCAAUCUACUUAGGAUUUUAAGUAUAUGAAAUGCUGUCAUUUGUAACACAAGUUAGCAACUGAUUGUUCCUAACUGUUUGCUUAGGUACUUAACUGGAUUAUUCUUUUGUUACUGCCUACUUGAAAACAUGGAAGCAAUCUUAUUCUUUCGUUAAUUGCA